CCGGGACACUGAAGCAGGCCUUUCUGCGUUAUUGCAUCACACGCGACAUCUUGUCGAGGUUCUCGCAGCUUUUCCUUGUUGCGUUUGAGUGACAGGUGACUAGCCAACCAGGUGAGGCGACGCUUCGGCGACUGUCCAAUAGGAGAGGAGGACGCGUGGAAGGCGGGACAUGGGUCCACACACAAGGGGGGCGCUGUGCCAACAUGGAGGAGGUCGGAUAGAUGAUGUGGAGCGAGUGAUUGGAGAGACUUGCAGCAAAGGAGGAGAAGCUUGAAGGUGAUCCGGAACUUAACGGGGAGCCAGUGCAGUUGUUUCAGUGUGGGGGUGAUGUGUUGCCAAGGUUUAGUCCGAGUGAGAACCCUAGCAGCAGAGUUCUGGACGUGUUGGAUCCUAUCCAGGGUUUUCUUCGGGACCCCAAACAUGACGGCAUUACAGUAGUCCAGGCGUGAUGUGAUGAAAGAAUGGACGAGGGUCUCAGCGACAGUCAGUGAGCGAUGGCUGGAGAAAAAAAUGCUGAUUUUGUGACAGAUUUGAUGUGUGUGUUAAAUGAUAGAGUAGAGUCCAGAAUGACACCCAGGUUGUGAACCUCCGUGGACAGUGAAGUGGUGAUGUCAUCGACAGAGAGGACCAGACCGACCACUAUCAACUCUGUCCUCCGGCUGUUGAGUUGGAGCAGGUCAGAGGUCAGCCAACAUUUAACUUCCUGUAAACAGUUGAUAAGAGAUUGUGGAUGGAGAUGUGCUGAGGUAGAGUUGAGUAUCAUCAGCAUCGCAGUGGAAGUUAAGACCAUGGUGCCAUGGUGGCACGUAUAUGGAGAAGAGGAGAGGGCCGAGGACAGAACCUUGUGGCACACCGGGGUAGGAACAGAAACUGUUUUCUGUUCCUAGGAGUGGAACCAGGACAGAGCAGUACCGUUGAGUCCACGGUGAGUGGAAAGGCGUCUAAGCAAGCAAGACCAGGAUGUUGAUGCAACCAGAGUCGGCAGCCAUCACAAGAUCAUUAGUGAUCUUGACCAGGGCCGUGUCAGUCCUAUGGAGGGUCCUGUGGGCAGAUUGGAAUGUUUCAUAGAGCUCACUGGUGGACAUGUGAUGAUGGAGCUGGGCAGAAACGACUCUUUCAGGGAUCUUGCUGAGAAACGGGAGGUUGGAAAUUGGCCGAUAGUUAUUGAGGUCAGCAGGAUCCAACCCUGCCCUUUCAGGAUGGGGGUAACAGGGGCAGAUUCUCGUGAUGUCUAUUUUUUCACACCACGUCACUAUUGUAGAAAAAUGAUUUAUGUCACAUGUAUAUACAAUAUAGUAUUUCUCACUGGAACUGUAUAAUGCAGUGGUU